rnacentral:rRNA from 1 species
UACAGAGGGUGCGAGCGUUAAUCGGAAUUACUGGGCGUAAAGCGUGCGUAGACGGCUAUCUAAGUCGGGUGUGAAAGCCCCGGGCUCAACCUGGGAAUUGCAUUCGAGACUGAAUAGCUAGGGUACGGUAGAGGGAAGUGGAAUUUCCGGUGUAGCGGUGAAAUGCGUAGAUAUCGAGAAGAACACUUAGGGCGUAGGCAAGACUCUGGACAAAUGCUGACGCUCAUGCACGAAGGCUAGGGUAGCGAACGGG